rnacentral:rRNA from 1 species
AACGAACGCUGGCGGCAUGCCUAACACAUGCAAGUCGAACGAGAACUUCGGGUCUAGGGGCGCACGGGGGCGUAACGCGGGGGAACCUGCCCUUAGGUUCGGAAUAACUCCCCGAAAGGGGUGCUAAUACCGGAUAAUGUCUUCGGACCAAAGAUCUAUCGCCUUUGGAUGGGCCCGUGUUGGAUUAGCUAGUUGGUAGGGUAAAAGCCUACCAAGGCGACGUUGCAUAGCUGGUCUGGGAGGAUGCCCAGCCGCACUGGGACUGCGACACGGCCCAGUCCCCUACGGAGGGCAGCAGUGGGGAGUAUAGUGCGCUGGGCGAAAGCCUGAUCCAGCCGUGCCGCGUGAGUGAUGCAGGCCUUAGGGUUGUAAAGCUCUUUUACCCGGGAUGAUAAUGACAGUACCGGGAGAAGAAGCACCGGCUAACUCCGUG